CGAAGACCCCGAAGAGGACCUUGCCGACAGAAACCUGUCCAGGGUUGAAGGAGCAGAGGGUUAGAAAGACCAUCCUGCAGGAGGAACAUAUCCUGUGGCAGCGACGGAUGUGAUGCUGAACUGAGGGGACCAGAAUCUCUGAAUCCUCUCUGGGAAACAAGGGAGGGUUAUAACCGAGUGAUGCUUCAAAUGGAGAAAAACCAGUAGCUGAUGAGGUAUGGCCGUUAUGUGAAUACUAAACCCAAGACUGCCCAUUUGAUUGGGGGUGAUGACCAGAGGUGAGGCUGACUUUGGCACCUAAGGCGGAACAAAAAGCCUUCCAUACCUGUGACACAAACUGGGGUCCACGGUCAGAAACAAUGUCCGAGGGAACACCAUGGAGACGAAAAACAUUGUUCACCAAGAAUUGAGCGGUUUCAAAAGAUGUGGGAAGUUUAACCAAAGGAACGAAGUGGGCUGCUUUAGAAAAUCUGUCUAUGAUGGUAAGAAUGACGGUAUUACCUUCAGAGGGUGGCAGUCCGGUAACAAAAUCUAAGGCAAUAUGGGACCAUGGAUGGGCAGGUGUUGGUAGUGGUUGUAGGAGACCGGCUUGUUGUUGGUUGCUGCUUUUGUUCAUGGCACAAGUUGGACAGGCAGUGACAAACUCCUUAAUAUCUUGGUAGGCCACCAAAAAUGUCUUUUAGAGAAAGACAGCAUACGAGAGAUACCAGGGUGACAUGUAAAACGAUGAUUGUGGACCCAGUCCAGUAGUUUACCAAUAAUUGCCUUGGGAACGAAUCUGGUACCAGUGGGUCCAUUGCCAGGAUCAYMAUCAGACUGUUGAGCCAAACGGAUGGUGUUUUCAAUAUCCCAAGUGAGAGUUCCCACGAAGCAGGUGUUAGGUAGGAUGGUGGAGUCCUUUUCAUGAGAGUCUGGAGGAGAAAACAGUCUGGAGAGAGCAUCUGACUUGACAUUCUUUGAGCCCGGGAUGUAAGUGAUGGUGAAAUUAAAUCUUACAAAGAAUAAUGACUAACGGGCUUGUCGAGGGUUUAAUCGUUUAGCAUUUUGUGUUACUAAAUGACUAGUGUUCUCGCAGUUUGCUUUAAAUAAUUGCCAAUUAGCUUUGUUAAAGCACCAUUUAAUGUAAAUUCUUCUUGUCUGGAUAUAUCAUCAUUUAUUAUUAUACUUAUUGGAAAGUGGUCACUCCCUAUUGUACUCUUACCCCUCACACUCCAUUCACAUGAACUUGCUAAAGUAUCUGACACUAAUGUAAUAUCUAUGCAUGAGACUGUACCUUUAUUUAAAUUGAUUCUUGUUCCCUGACCAUUAUUUAAACAUACUAAAGAUCUUUCAUCCAUAAUUUCUUCUAUUAUUCUGCCAUUAUUGUCUGUUUGG